UACGCUUAGUGCUUCAUGCCAAGUGCUAAGUCAAACAUGAAAUUCCAUGCUUCUUUAUAUUGUAGUUCAUACGAUACGUAAUAACUUAAUACGCAAGUCCUUAACAUACGAGGGUUAUAUGCUAUGGUUACAUGUACAAUUUUCAAAAGCCAUAAGAUAUUAAAUGCUUAAUACACCUUUUUUGCCACAUCUUUAUUACUCCUAUAUUCCACAUUGAUAAAAAAUAAAACAAUACUCACCGCACGACACAUGUCACAACAUUUAUGACAUGAUUCUCUAACCCAGCAAAAUGUGAAAAUUGUAAUCCGCAAAAAUCCGCAAAUAAUAUGUGUUUAAUCGUAGUCCCUCCCGUGUGUGCCUUAUCUUGGUUUCUCAUACCUUGCUUACUUCUACCCUUAUGUUGUGCUGCUGCCAAGAAGACUUUGAAAGACUGCGAAAACAGGAAGUAUAACAGCAGUUACUCUACAGUUAAAGUUGAAGAAGUUUUGUAUGCUUAAGAUAAAGAGAAUUCAGUUUCGGAGGAAGAAUUGUUUGAAGACACAUUUGAAGAACGUGAUUAAGAUAAAGAAAAUACUGUAGUGUAUGAGCUAUUGACAUCAAUUUUGAUAAAGGAAAAGCUAUAGUUAAUAAAGAAAACAGCGAUAUGAAAUCAGAAAGUGCUGUAUGCUAGAUUGAGUCAGGAGCAAGAAGUGAAACGAAGAGUAUCCGAAAAUGUGCUGGUUAACAUAUUUGUGUUUCCCCAUGUUGAUAAUCCCAUGUGUAGCGUUAUUCCCCUUCACCUGUCCUUGUCUAGUCCAGUGCUGUGAGACAGAGGAGGAAAAUGAGAAGAAGAUCAAAAUCGAGAAGGAUUUGGAUGAGCUUAAGUUUAAUUAUAUGCUGAAUUAAAAAUGUGAUUGUUUUCAA